CAAAGAGGAAAAACAGAGUCUGCUGUAUCAGACUUUCCUAUGGAUGAUGACAUGCCCUACUUCCAGUGUUUCUUUGUGGACGAGGAUGAGGCCCAGUUUCCAUUCUACGCCUUCUCACCACUGUAGAUUUGAAGCUUCACUUUGAAUCUAGUCUGCAGUUUACAAUUUAGUCAAUUUACUGAUAAUGACAAGGUCACGUCACGCUGACACAUAGCCUGCUGUUCACUGUUGGUCUUCAGUAGAAAACCCUGAUGGCAGAGGAUGGCUUAUGUGAUGGACCGUUUACUUUAUUUCCAGAUUUGGUUGAGCUCUCGCACUAAACUACGUGCAGCCAGUGUCAUUCCUUUUUCAUUAUUU